GUGCUCACUUCGGCAGCAUAUAUACUAAAAAUGAAACAAUACAGGGAAGAUUAGCAUGGCCCUGGCAAGAAUGACAUGCAAAUUUAUAAAAUGGGGAAAUACUAC